CCUCCCGCAGGAAUCCCGGGCGGGUGGCAGUAGCAGUAGUAAUAGCAGCAGCAGCAGCAGCCGGGACGCGCGGCUCCCCCUGGCUGCGCGGCGGCGGGAGGCGGGUGAGCAUCGAGAAGCGGCCGCCGCCUCAUCCUGCGGCAGCGGCCGGCUCUGCCCGGAGGACGCAGGUGGCAGUGUAGAAGCCAAGAACAAAAAUUGGCAGAAAUUACAUUCUGUGUACAAGAGAAUGAAGAGUAUACUCAUGACUAAGCACAGGAACCUGGAAAACCACAGGCUUUGGUCAGGUGAUCCAUGGUGACUGGUCAGCCCACCAAGAGGGUACCUCAGCAGCCAGGUGGUGUUGGACUAAUGCUGUGGAUCAUUCAGCCCAGAACUUGUAGUUGCCCAU